UUACUAGAGCAAAGGAUAGACAGCGCCCGCGGAGCUCGCUCCCGGGGCUACCCUACUCCCGUAGGGUUUAGAGUCGUCGGGCCUCUCGGAGAAGCUCGGUCCUGAACUCCACCCUUGAAUAAACUACCUUUGUUGCUUUGGCGGGCCGCCUCGUGCCAGCGGCUUCGGCUGUUGAGUGCCCGCCAGAGGACCCCAACUCUUGUUUUUAGUGAUGUCUGAGUACUAUAUAAUAGUUAAAACUUUCAACAACGGAUCUCUUGGUUCUGGCAUCGAUGAAGAACGCAGCGAAAUGCGAUAAGUAAUGUGAAUUGCAGAAUUCAGUGAAUCAUCGAAUCUUUGAACGCACAUUGCGCCCUCUGGUAUUCCGGGGGGCAUGCCUGUUCGAGCGUCAUUAUAACCACUCAAGCUCUCGCUUGGUAUUGGGGUUCGCGGUUUCGCGGCCCCUAAAAUCAGUGGCGGUGCCUGUCGGCUCUACGCGUAGUAAUACUCCUCGCGAUUGAGUCCGGUAGGUCUACUUGCCAGCAACCCCUAAUUUUUUUUAAGGUUGACCUCGGAUCAGGUAGGGAUACCCGCUGAACUUAAGCAUAUCAAUAAGCGGAGGAAAAGAAACCAACAGGGAUUACCUCAGUAACGGCGAGUGAAGCGGUAACAGCUCAAAUUUGAAAGCUGGCUCUUUUAGGGUCCGCGUUGUAAUUUGUAGAAGAUGCUUCGGGUGUGGCCCCGGUCUAAGUUCCUUGGAACAGACGUCAUAGAGGGUGAGAAUCCCGUAUG
rnacentral:rRNA from 1 species